rnacentral:tRNA from 1 species
UGGGGUGUAGCUCAGUGGCAGACUGUGUGUUUAACAUGUUCAGGGCCCUGGGUUCAGUCCCCAGCACCAAAA